GAUGAACGUUGGCGGCGUGCUUAACACAUGCAAGUCGAACGGAAAGGCUCCUGCUUGCAGGGGUACUCGAGUGGCGAACGGGUGAGUAACACGUGGGUGAUCUGCCCUGCACUUCGGGAUAAGCCUGGGAAACUGGGUCUAAUACCGGAUAGGACGAUGGUUUGGAUGCCAUUGUGGAAAGUUUUUUCGGUGUGGGAUGAGCUCGCGGCCUAUCAGCUUGUUGGUGGGGUAAUGGCCUACCAAGGCGUCGACGGGUAGCCGGCCUGAGAGGGUGUACGGCCACAUUGGGCCUGAGAUACGGCCCAGACUCCUACGGGAGGCAGCGGUGGGGAAUAUUGCACAAUGGGCGCAAGCCUGAUGCAGCGACGCCGCGUGGGGGAUGACGGCCUUCUGGUUGUGAACUCCUUUCGCUAGGGACGAAGCGCAAGUGACGGUACCUGGAGAAGAAGCACCGGCUAACUACGUG
rnacentral:rRNA from 1 species